rnacentral:rRNA from 1 species
GUGGGGAAUAUUGGACAAUGGGCGAAAGCCUGAUCCAGCCAUGCCGCGUGUGUGAAGAAGGUCUUCGGAUUGUAAAGCACUUUAAGUUGGGAGGAAGGGCAGUAAGUUAAUACCUUGCUGUUUUGACGUUACCGACAGAAUAAGCACCGGCUAACUUCGUGCCAGCAGCCGCGGUAAUACGAAGGGUGCAAGCGUUAAUCGGAAUUACUGGGCGUAAAGCGCGCGUAGGUGGUUUUGUAAGUUGGAGGUGAAAUCCCCGGGCUCAACCUGGGAACUGCCUCCAAAACUGCAUGACUAGAGUACGGUAGAGGGUAGUGGAAUUUCCUGUGUAGCGGUGAAAUGCGUAGAUAUAGGAAGGAACACCAGUGGCGAAGGCGACUACCUGGACUGAUACUGACACUGAGGUGCGAAAGCGUGGGGAUCAAACAGGAUUAGAAACCCGGGUAGUCC